GUGUUGGGGGAACCACUCACUUAAGGAACAUUGAUCGAACCUCUGCUGUCAACUAAGAGCUCGAAUAACCGAGGAUAUACACGGAGGGCGCCCCCUGUCCUGCCCCCAGGGGGCUCGUAGGAUCCCAAGGGACUGUGACCCAGGACCACGGUGGCAGGUUACGACAGAGGAGGCGGCUGGAUAAUUCAGGGUUGGCGGGGCUGGUGUGCUACAGGUGGGAAAGGGUCAGAGAAGUUAGGGAAAGCUUCCUGAUGGAAGUGACAAGGAGCCGAAGGUCCCCAAACCACUAGCAGCAGCGGAAGAGGGGAGUCUGAAGACGCCUGGCUUGGAAAGAGGAAGGGUGCUUCGGGUUGGGAUGCGUGCAGUUUGAGGUAUCGGUGAUACACCCAAGUGUAGACGAGCUCCGCGCCGCGGGGUGCGUAAGGGCGCGGGACCCAGCAGAGAGCCUGGGUGGGAGGGGUAGGUAACUGUGGUCGGUGUGGUAGAGAAUGCUACCUUCUUCUUUUUUCUUUUUUAAGGAUUUUAUUUAUUUAUUCAUGAGAGGCACACGGAGAGAGGCAGAGACACAGGCAGAGGGAGAAGCAGGUUCCCUGCAGGGAGCCCGACGUGGGACUCGAUCCCGGGACCCAGGAUCCCACCCGGAGCCAAAGGCAGAUGCUCAACCCCUGAGCCACCCAGGUGCCCCAGGACGCUACCUUCUUGAGGAUAAAAGCUUUGACCACCAGGAUUCCACGGGAUUAACGGGCACGGAUUUGAGCUGCAAUCAACACAACUGUUGAGAUGAUCAUCGCAGUCGAAGGUGGUUUUUGCUUUGUUUGAAGUGCUGUCCCAGUUGCUGAAGACUGACCAGCUCAUUCUGUGAUAAAGGAAAGGCCCAGGUACCUGCUCUGUGCAACAAGGAAGCCACCACCGCCCUGUGGGGCUGAGCACUUGGAAUGUGGCAAGAGCAGACAAGGGACCGAAUUUCGCAUUGUGUCUCAUUUCCAUUAAGUUUAUUAUUUUUUUAAGAUUGUGUUUAUUUAUUCAUGAGAGACACACGGAGAGAGACAGAGACACAGGCAGAGGGAGAAGCAGGUUUCCUGCAGGGAGCCCGACGUGGGACUCGAUCCCGGGACCCCGGGAUCUUGCCCGGAGCCUAAGGCAGACAGACGUUCAACCCCUGAGCCACCCUGGCAUCCCUCCAUUAAUUUAAGUUUAAACAGUUACACGAGGCCAGAGGUUUCCAUACCAGUCAGGACACUGCUGGAGCUGCUCUCAUGCUCCCUGGGCUUCUGCCAGCGGGGUCUGGGUCUCCUUCCUCCAGGAAGAGCCUGGAGGGUGUUGGCCGUGCGGGGACAGACGUCCCCAUCUGCUGAGUUGACAGGUGCACGCGGAGGGAGGCAUGCGCUGACCUCCGAACAGCACAGCUGGCCUCGCUCUCCAAGGAGUCCCAUCCCCCCACCUCCCAUCCCCUUCCAGGACCCGGCACGUGGGCA
rnacentral:lncRNA from 1 species